AACGAACGCUGGCGGCAUGCCUAACACAUGCAAGUCGAACGAGACCUUCGGGUCUAGUGGCGCACGGGUGCGUAACGCGUGGGAAUCUGCCCUUGGGUUCGGAAUAACAGUUGGAAACGACUGCUAAUACCGGAUGAUGACGUAAGUCCAAAGAUUUAUCGCCCAAGGAUGAGCCCGCGUAGGAUUAGCUAGUUGGUGAGGUAAAGGCUCACCAAGGCGACGAUCCUUAGCUGGUCUGAGAGGAUGAUCAGCCACACUGGGACUGAGACACGGCCCAGACUCGUACGGGAGGCAGCAGUGGGUAAUAUUGGACAAUGGGCGAAAGCCUGAUCCAGCAAUGCCGCGUGAGUGAUGAAGGCGUUAGGGUUGUAAAGCUCUUUUACCCGGGAUGAUAAUGACAGUACCGGGAGAAUAAGCUCCGGCUAACUACGUG
rnacentral:rRNA from 1 species